AGUCACUGACAUUAGAUACCCCGGUAGUCCUAGCCGUAAACGAUACUCGCUAGGUGUCGGCCACGGUGCGACCGUUGUCGGUGCCGUAGGGAAGCCGUGAAGCGAGCCACCUGGGAAGUACGGCCGCAAGGCCGAAACUUAAAGGAAUUGGCGGGGGAGCACCAUAACGGGUGGAGCCUGCGGUUUAAUUGGACUCAACGCCGGGAAGCUCACCGGAUAAGACAGCGGAAUGAUUGCCGGGCUGAAGACCCUGCAUGACCAGCUG
rnacentral:rRNA from 1 species